AACGAACGCUGGCGGCAUGCCUAACACAUGCAAGUCGAACGAGACCUUCGGGUCUAGUGGCGCACGGGUGCGUAACGCGUGGGAACCUGCCCUUAGGUUCGGAAUAACUCCCCGAAAGGGGUGCUAAUACCGGAUAAUGUCUUCGGACCAAAGAUUUAUCGCCUUUGGAUGGGCCCGCGUUGGAUUAGCUAGUUGGUAGGGUAAAAGCCUACCAAGGCGCCGAUCCAUAGCUGGUCUGAGAGGAUGAUCAGCCACACUGGGACUGAGACACGGCCCAGACUCCUACGGGAGGCAGCAGUGGGGAAUAUUGGACAAUGGGCGAAAGCCUGAUCCAGCAAUGCCGCGUGAGUGAUGAAGGCCUUAGGGUUGUAAAGCUCUUCUACCCGGGAUGAUAAUGACAGUACCGGGAGAAUAAGCUCCGGCUAACUCCGUG
rnacentral:rRNA from 1 species